UAUAUUAAUUAUUAACAUUCUACGUUGGGUAGUUCGAACCCUAGUUGAUUCACAUUUUCAGUUAAGUUUAUUUCUAAAUGGAAUAAACGAAGCGGGUAGCGUGGUACCUAUCUCUCAAAAAAAAAAAAAAAAAAAAAAAAAACAUUCUACGUACGUUGGGUGAUAAUAUAAAUCGACUCAAUUUUAUUACUACGCAGAUCAUAUGUAAUAACUCUAAUCACUUUCAAACAAUGCAUGGUGACUAGAUUCAAUGCAAAUAUUUGUUCUUAGUAACUUUUGUUUUUGAGAGAGAUAAGUAGCACGCUACCCGCUUUGUUUAUUUCAUUUAGAAAUAAACUUAGUUGAAAAUAUGAAUCAACUAUGAUUCGAACUUGGGUCUCGGGAACCAACCAUCAAGCCCUUUGCCACUUGCUCUAGGGACGAUCGGUUGUUCUUAGUAAUUUUAAAACUGUUAGUAUCACCAACAUUCUAUUUUCCAUAUUCAAAUGUUAAUAUCCCU
rnacentral:lncRNA from 1 species